AUGUGGAAUAAGAAUGGAGUAGUAAGUGUAGAACCGAAAAUGGAGAUGAAUAGUAGUAGACGAGGUGAUGUUUUUUUUUAUGGAGGUGUUGGCAUAAUUUCUAUACUACUUCCUUCUAAUUUUCUCCUCAGUAAUUUUUGUGUUUUUACUUGUUUCUCUGUAUUUUUCAUAUUGUUUCCUUUUUUACUAUAA